UACAGAGGUCUCGAGCGUUGUUCGGAUUCAUUGGGCGUAAAGGGUGCGUAGGUGGCACUGUAAGUCGGGUGUGAAAUCCUGAGGCUUAACCUCGGAACUGCAUUCGAUACUGCGGUGCUUGAGGACUGGAGAGGAGACUGGAAUUUACGGUGUAGCGGUGAAAUGCGUAGAUAUCGUAAGGAAGACCCAGUGGCGAAGGCGGGUCUC
rnacentral:rRNA from 1 species